UACAGAGGUCCCGAGCGUUGUUCGGAUUCACUGGGCGUAAAGGGUGCGUAGGUGGUGGGGUAAGUCGGAUGUGAAAUCUCCGAGCUCAACUCGGAAAUGGCAUUGGAAACUACCUUGCUCGAGGGUUGGAGGGGGGACUGGAAUACUUGGUGUAGCAGUGAAAUGCGUAGAUAUCAAGUGGAACACCAGUGGCGAAGGCGAGUCCCUGGACAACUCCUGACACUGAGGCACGAAAGCUAGGGGAGCAAACAGG
rnacentral:rRNA from 1 species